GACGAACGCUGGCGGCGUGCCUAAUACAUGCAAGUCGGACGAGUGGCGAACGGGUGAGUAACGCAUCGGAACGUACCGAGUAAUGGGGGAUAACUGUCCGAAAGGACAGCUAAUACCGCAUAUUAUUCGAGCGGCCGAUGUCUGAUUAGCUGGUUGGCGGGGUAAAGGCCCACCAAGGCGACGAUCAGUAGCGGGUCUGAGAGGAUGAUCCGCCACACUGGGACUGAGACACGGCCCAGACUCCUACGGGAGGCAGCAGUGGGGAAUUUUGGACAAUGGGCGCAAGCCUGAUCCAGCCAUGCCGCGUGUCUGAAGAAGGCCUUCGGGUUGUAAAGGACUUUUGUCAGGGAAGCGGUACCUGAAGAAUAAGCACCGGCUAACUACGUGCCAGCAGCCGCGGUAAUUC
rnacentral:rRNA from 1 species